UAUGAGCUGUUUGUGGAGAGGUGAUGUACCAUUGGCAGCCUUGCCCAAUGGCCAGCAAGAAGCUGAGUCUCUCAUUCUGACAGCCUCGGGGACCUGAAAUCUAUCAACAACCACUCAAGGUGUUUCACAAUCUAAUCCAAACUGACCUGGCCACUCCAACCUGGAGAGAAGGGGAGGGAACCAUGAUGAAUGUGGACACCAGUUGAGACACUUGUGAAAACACCCAGGAGGUCAUGAGGGCGAGCUCUAAUCCCAUAUGACCGUGUCCUCAGAAGAGGAGCUUAGGACACAGACACAGAGGGAAGGCCGUGUGAGGACACAGGGAGAAGACGGCAUCUACAAGCCAAGGAGAGAGCCCUUGGAUCAAGGCAAGCCUACUGAUGCCUCGAUCUCAGACUUCCAGCUUCCAAAGUU